rnacentral:rRNA from 1 species
AUACGGAGGGUGCAAGCGUUACUCGGAAUCACUGGGCGUAAAGGACGCGUAGGCGGGUUGGUAAGUCAGGUGUGAAAUCCUACAGCUUAACUGUAGAACUGCACUUGAAACUACCAACCUAGAGUAUGGGAGGGGGAGAUGGAAUUAGUGGUGUAGGGGUAAAAUCCGUAGAUAUCACUAGGAAUACCGAAAGCGAAGGCGAUCUCCUGGAACAUAACUGACGCUAAGGCGUGAAAGCGUGGGGAGCAAACAGGAUUAGAAACCCUAGUAGUCC